CUGUAUGAAGACAUGCUAGUCGUUUCGUCGUGAAUUUAAAUUUUUUAAAGUUUGAGCAGCGAGUAAAGUUUUUAAUCCAUAUCUGCCUUUGACAUUACAACUUUGAGACACUACCGACGCGGCAAAAAAAUGAGGAUAAUGCCGCAAGAAGACGGGGAGAAUACAUUUUUCAAGAGAAAUGAAGUUGGUAGCAGAUGGAUAAUUGUUGGACUGAGCAUUGACACGGCUGAGUCAUCCGAUGAAGAUCGAGUGCUAACCCUUGUAGACGCUUUCUCGACAUCAACCCGGAGCGUGGAUCUAAAGCCAAGAAGGGGAAAGUGACUUCAAAGAAGACUGGCCAAGUUGUGCAAAAAAAGAACACUACUGUGAACCCACAGGUUUCCUCUCUUCUGAGAAAACUUACAGACUUCAAAUGGAAUUUUGUUUAGACACGUCCACUAUCCACUGUAAUUGGACUAUAGAAGGAAGUAAGGUUCCUGCAUUGUUAAUGAUGUGCUGUUAACUGUUAAUUGCAAUACAAAAGUACAGCUGGCAUUCCUACCAACAUGUUUAUACAAUGCCUUAACUCAUUGAGAGCACUUGAUUGUUAAUGUUCUGUUAAUUGUUAACGGUUCUGUUAACUGUUAAGUAAAUUUAUU